UACGUAGGGUGCGAGCGUUAAUCGGAAUUACUGGGCGUAAAGCGUGCGCAGGCGGUUUUGUAAGCCAGAUGUGAAAUCCCCGGGCUUAACCUGGGAAUGGCAUUUGGGACUGCAAGGCUCGAGUGCGGCAGAGGAGACUGGAAUUCCUGGUGUAGCAGUGAAAUGCGUAGAUAUCAGGAGGAACACCGAUGGCGAAGGCAGGAUCUCUGGGCUGGACACU
rnacentral:rRNA from 1 species